GCCGAUCUGGUCUAAGGUAUGAUACCAGCUUGUUACGCGGGUGAUGCGGGUUCGACCCUCGCGAUCGGCA